GUCUGAAUCAUAACAAUGGUAUUAAUUACCUUCCACCCGCAUUCGCGACAUAACCGAUCGUGUGGCCUCCUACGCGUGUCCGUGCGCAAGUAGUCCGCGGCGAAUGCAGCGAAAGGAACUCCUCGGCCCGCUAGUCGAGGCGGUAGCUAAUGUCAAUCGCUCGCAGCCAGAGAUAAAGCAACGAAGAAAGACAGAGAAAGAGAGAGGGACGGAUAGAUGUAAUAAAACUAUGCGAGAAAAUAAUUUUAUCUCGGCUUCUUCCCGACGUUGAAGUUUUUUCUACGCGAGUCAACAUCGGAAUUGCCGAUUACGCGUCUCUAAUGAGCGCGAUGUUAAAAAGAUUAAGCCUCUUUGUAAAUACACAACCGUGUCGAGCAAACGACAAUAUUAUUUAUGGAGGAGCCUGCGUUCUGACAGCCAGAAUUAAUCGCUCAUAUGCUGCGUCGUGCAUAUGCUUAUCGCUGUAAUCGCCGGAACGUACAGAAACCUGGUGCAACACGUUCGUCGGAUCACGGUUCGGCGAAAUCGUCUUACCUGCCUGUUUUGUUGAAGGAAUCUUGAACGAAUCUCGAGAUAAAGAGCUCGCUAAUAUUCUUCCUACACUUCUGGUAUACGAUAAUUUUGUAUUCAAGUGGCGUAUUAAAACAUUACGUCCGCUUACUGGCGCGCCUUUAUUUGUCUAACGCAGGAUAUUCCAACAACUCAUCACGCGCUUAUAUUAUUAUAACACGUGCUAUAUAUGUGCGCGUACAUGUUUGUAGCGGUAAGGUCGUAGAAAUUAGAAUGCGCGUCUGAUACCGACAGUCGAAGAACGGAAAACUUUUUGCCGGUAACAUCAGACGUACCCAUUCAUGUCGCAAUAUCAAUUUUAAUUCGUCGAAUUCUUUGACAGUAAUGAAAUUCCAGCUUCGUCAAUUAAUUUAACAAUACACUGCUGCAACACGAUACACUAAUUGUAAUUUAAUAGCCGACGCCUGUUGACGGCAUUCCGCAAAGCUGAAUUAACAUAUUUCGCGAGGGAAAAGGUCCUAUUAUCCACCUUUCACGCAUCGACCUUUCGCUGUCGAACUGGUUUUAGUAAAGCGAUUAGCAAGAAUGCAUACGAUAUAAAUUACGUGUGCGCGUAUGUACACCUUUAUCGCAGUAUCGCAAUGUUUACAGUACGAUUAUUUUGGAAACUGCAUGUAUUCACGUUCGAUUUUUUGAAAUAAUGGUACGCACAAAAUUAAGCUUCUAAAAUUUCGUAAAUUUUCUUUCGACGUAAAAAAAUUUUUCUAUUAUUAAAUUAUAUAAUUUUAUCAGAACACAUGCGUUGGAGUUUUAGUUGGUGAUAAGAUCAAGGUAUCGAAAUAACAGAAGGAUAACAAGUUAUGCAAUCUGCAUGUAUGUUUUCUUUACGUAUGAAAAACUUACGUAGUUGCUCGCGUGACAAAAUGUUGACAAAAUCUUAUAAUGAUCGCGUUAACGAUUCUACUGGCAAUUAGAGAAUUGCACUUCCGGUUAGGUAGGCUAAACUAGGACUAGCACGUAAGAUUUUCAGUUUUCAAUAAUGCAACUCACAGAAAAACACAAAGCAUUUGUAUAAACUCUUCAAAAACUUUUAUUAAAUAAAUAUAAUUUGAUAUAUAA
rnacentral:lncRNA from 1 species